GAUGGCUCUAACUGAACACUGUCCAAGUACUUGACACAUGCUAAUCGAACGACUAAUUAUUUAUUAAUUUAUUUAAUAAUAAGUAGUAGUGGUGUACAGGUGAGUAUAUGAUAAAUUGGCUACCUUAAACUAAGGGCAAAAUCCCUUAUAAUAAAAAAAAAGGUAAUUAAAAAUUCCGGUUUAAGAUGUAAAUUUUUAUCUCGGUGAGUAGUAGGAAAGGUAAUGACUUUUCUAGCAGUAACCGUAGUCGUAACUGGAAAGUUGAUCGACCACAUUGGGUCUGAAAAAAACCCAAUGCUUUUAUGUACAGCAGUGAGGAAUAUUGGUCAAUGGCGCAAGGCUGAACCAGUAACUUGGAAGAAUGUAACUGUAUUUGUAUAAAUACAUAGCGAUUAAUUCGCAUAAAAUUCUAAAUAGAUUGUAUAUAAUGACAUAAUCUAUUUAUAAGUCUUGACCAAACUACGUGC
rnacentral:rRNA from 1 species